rnacentral:rRNA from 1 species
ACUGAGCGGCGGACGGGUGAGUAACGCGUGGGUAACCUGCCUCGUACAGGGGGAUAACAGUUGGAAACGGCUGCUAAUACCGCAUAAGCGCACAGUACCGCAUGGUACGGUGUGAAAAACUCCGGUGGUAUGAGAUGGACCCGCGUCUGAUUAGGUAGUUGGUGGGGUAACGGCCCACCAAGGCGACGAUCGGUAGCCGGACUGAGAGGUUGAACGGCCACAUUGGGACUGAGACACGGCCCAG